rnacentral:lncRNA from 1 species
UGUGUGUCUAGCGAAAUUGUCGGCCCCUCCCAGGAGCUGUUUCCACCCUCUCCCGCCAGGUCCAGGCAACGAUCACCAAUGGCUAUACUAUCGUGAGAUGAGAAGAAAGACAACAAGAUUUUAUGUGCCUCUUGAUAGAAGUACCACAACACUGCCUAUGGAGUAGCCUUGAAAAAAGAAAAAAGCUGACGUGAAUAUGAGCAAGAGCAGCGAUGUCCAAAAGAACUUUUGGUGAUGAUAGAAAUGUUGUCCAUCUGCGCAGUCCAACACAGUAGCCCCUGUCCACAUGUAGGUAUUGAGAACUUGAAAUAAGACUCGUGUGACUGAAGAACUGAAUUUUUAAAAUUUACUGAAUUUUAG